CGGAAGAACGCAGCCGCAAAGGAAGUAUCGCUCUGUCCUCCCUCUUUCUCGCCGCUCCCCAGCGACCUCUUCCUGGUGUGACCUCCUCCCCCGGGAUGCAGCCUUUUGGAGCCGGCGCUUUCCCGCCGCCCCGCGCUGCCUUACUCGGCGCCCGCCUAGGAUUCGGAAGUGGGCGGGAGGGCCAGCCGUCCUGUCCUGAUGUCGGCUUAAGUUAGCGAGGACCAGACAAAUGACAGUGGCGACUUGGGGAGUCUUCCGUAAAAUGUGCAGGAUCUGCCACUGGGAACUGGGUGUCGAUUACACGUCCUGUUAGCGGUGUGUGCGUGCUAAUACUCCAAAGCAGACUGCAGUGCAGUGCGCAAAGAGCAGGUUGACAUUGUUAUGUUCCUACCGUCUUGUUAUGAACUUUUGUACCGUUGUUUUUAUUGAUUUUUUUUCCUUACAAUAAAAUGUUUUUAAAAGCAGGUUUAAAUUUUUAGUCAUAAUUGAGGUGGGUUUGUGAACAACAAAUAUAGGAAUCCAAGCAGCCAAAUUGAUAAAUUUGGAAUUUAAUUAACUGAGCUAAGGAUCAUUCAUACAGACACACACACACACACACACACACACACACACACGCACGCACGCACACACACACCGGUUCAGGGUCCAAACAAGUGGCACCAAACUAAAGUUACAAGAGAUUUUAAAAAAGAAUCACAAAAGACAUCCUGUUGGAAACAAUUUAGCUCGAAUCUUUCAUUAGUUUUUGAGUGACACCUGUAUCCUGCUUCUUUUGUUAAGCAGGUUAAUUUUUCUCCUGUAGAUACAGCUUAUUCUGCUUUUCUCAUAGGACUUAUACCCUAAGUAAUUUUCCUGAGUCAAAUACAGGGCAUUAGUUGACUAGGGGUCAAGAUAGUGUCAGUUAUGCCAAGCUACAACAAUAAUGAGCCCAAAAUAAGUACAGAUGGUCCCUAUUUAUGGUAUUUUCUACUUAAAGUGGGGUUAAGUCCCUGUCAUAAAUGAAAGAGCAACUAUACUAAGAACCUCAACAAAAUCAUAGCUCCCAGCGUGGUGGCACAUGCCUGCAAUCCCAGCUCUCAGGAAGCUGAGGCAGGAGGAUCACCAUGAGUUUGACGCCAGCCUGAGCUACAAAGUGGGCUCAAGGCUAGCCUAAACUGUAUAGUUGAGACCCUGUCUCAAAAAGACAAAAAAAAAAUUCUGCUGGGCCUGAUGUCACAUGCCUGUAAUCCCAGGACCCAAGAGGCUGAGGCAAGAGGAUCACUGAGAGUUCAAGGCCAGCCUGGACUACAUAGCAAGACCCUGUCUCCAAAAAAAAAGUUCUCUCUUAAUCUUCCAUAUUGUUACAAUAACUGUCAUUUAACCAGAAAGUUAAUGGUCUGAGCAGUGAUAUUCCAGGGCCUGUCUUGUGAAUGGCUGCUCUUCCCAGCAACACCACAGAAUUUGGAGUCUGAAUUCAGACCCAAUGCCUAUGUAUUUUUAUUGUUUGAUAAAGAUAGUGUUUCAAAUCAACUGAAAAAGGCAUGUUUAUUUUUUUAAAUGGUGCUGGGAUUUGGGAGGAAAGGUUAGAUCCUGUUUUGGAGACAAGGCCUCACUACCUUACCCAGAAACCCUGUAGCCUCAGCCUCUGAGUAAUGUACCUGGGUCACACCCCAGCUUUAGUCUUUUAUCAAAGUCCACACCCAAAUGAAUUACAUUAGAAUUCAAGCGUAAAGUGUUAAACACACAAGUACAUAUGAAGCAAGAUAUUUAAAAGAAUACAUGCAUAUCCAACCUCAAAAUGGAGAAGGGCUUUUCUAAGUAUAAAUUUAGUAUAGUAUAAGCCAAGAGUGGUAGCCUACAUCUCUAAUUCCAGGACCUAGGAGGCUGAGGCAGGAAGAUUGCUUGAAUUUAGGCCAGCCUGGACUACAUAGUGAGACCCAGGCUCAAAAACAAAAAAACCUCAAACAGCAAACUUGAGAAUUAAGCCAUAAAAUAAAAAUCAAUAAAUGUAACUACAUAAAACCUUUUCAAACUUCUGUAAGAUUGUAUCGAUGCCAGUGAUCAGGAAGAGCCUUUUCCUCCCCCAGUCUUUACUCCAGAGAGUUCUGACCUUCCUGGACUCCUGAAAAACCAGAUCACUUGUCUCUUUUUAUUUAUGUAUUUUAUCACAACUUGUUUUAGGAGACUGGGAGCCUGGUCAGCCUCCGACAGAAAAGAUUUCUGCAGCCUCCGACAGAAAAGAUUUCUAGAGUUCCCAGUGACAAUAUUCUUGACACUACUGAACUCUGCACAUAAAGACUUAAGAUGAUCAGUUGUACAUUAGGUGCACCAUGCCAGAAUUAAAACUUUAAAAAUAAAAAUUUUUAAAAAUUUGCUUAGAAUGAAUCCCAUCAUAAAGUUUCUGUAAAUUUGGAAAACUUACAGUCUUUUUUUUUUUUAUACUCAGGAUUAAACCCAGUUUCAUACUUGCCAGGAAAUAGCCCAAAUGUCCAUCAAUCAACCAACAGAUAAAGAUGUGGUUUUUUUAUACAAUGGAGUACCACAGCCAUAAAGGGUGAGCUUGAGACAUUAUAGGUACGGAUGCACCUUGAGACCACACUAUUAAGUAACAUAAGUGAAGCACAUGUGUAAAUAUCACAUUGUAUCUCUGGUGUGAGAAACUGAGUGUAAAUAAGCACCAGAAUGUAUACCAGAUAUUUUAAAAUAGUAAGAAAAUGCUCAGGUGGGAAGAGGGAUGGGGAGAGGUCAAGGAAGCAAAGGGAAAAAGAGGGCAAAAUGGAAACCAAACUUUUUUUCCUCUCUUGGUACCUGGGAUUGAACUCACAAACCUGCACUUGCCAGGCAGGUACUUACCCGGCCUGGAAACAAAACUUUUGUACAGGAGGAGGGGAAGAGGGGCCGAAGGGAGGACAACGGGACAGGAAAAAACCAACUGAGAUAAGUCGUGUAAGGUACAGAGUCCCUAGGAUAAAAGUGAUCAAUGUGUAUAUUUAAAAUGGACCGGUAAACUUAAUUUUUAAAAAAGAAUAUAAAUAUAAAGUAAAAUAAAGCUAGAUGAUAGGAGAUAGAUCCCUUGAAGAAGGGAUGAGGCUCUGGGGAGGAAGAGGAAGGAAAGCAAACAUGAACUAAGAUGUGAUACAUAUACUAACCAGCUCCCCAGAAGGGAUGUAUUCAUUACAGACUGCAAACAUACAGCAAAAAGUGACACCCCAGAAAUACAAAUGAUCGCUAGGCACGGUAGCACACACCUGUAAUCCCAGCUCUUGGGAGGCUGAGGCAGGAGGAUCAACGAGAGUUCAAGUGUAGCCUCAACUACACAGUGAGUUCAAGACCAGACUGAACUUUAAAAAAAAAAAAAAAAAAAAAAAAAAGCCACUCACGGUGGCACAUGCCUGUAAUUGCAGCACUUGGGGGGCUGAGGCAGGAGGAUUGCCUCAAGUGCAAGGCUGGGCUGGGCUACAUAGUUCAGGAGCAGCCUGAACUAUACAGUGAGACCCUGUCUCAAAAAAAGAAAAGAAAAAAAAGUGAUCACAAAUUACAACUCUUAAAAAUUAUGACAAAAUGUUAGCAAUUCUCAGUCUUUUCAAAUGCUUCAAAAAGUUGAAGUAGAGAAAAUACUUUCAGCCCCAUUUUAUGAGAGCAACAUUACCCUGAUACUGAAGAUAAAGAUACUAAAAGAAAUGUAAAUUACAGACCACUACUCCAAUGAAUGCAGAUGCAAAAAUCCUCAAAAUGUAAGCAAACCAAGUCCAAGAAAACAUUAGAAGAAUCAUCCACCAUGACCAAAUAGGAUUUAUCUUUAGGAGUCAAGGAUAUUUCAACAUAUAAUCAAUACAUGUGAGUUGAAAAUUAUAUAAUUAUACUUUAAUCCACUUGAAUGGUUUCACACUGUCUUGAUAUGUUUGAAGCUAUAGUAUAUGAAGUUAUAUUCAAAUGUUUCAAGGAAAAAGAUACUAAGGUAACCACUAUUAAGUCAGGUUAUUUGGUGGUGAAGCACUGAGUUGCUGAAACUGUCAUGCUUUGACCUGUAUUGUUAUGUUGUUAUGUCCUCUUUUAUCUCAAUCUCUCCCUUAUUUAUUAGAAAAACUAUUUAUUCUUUUAUUUUUUAUUAUUUUUUUAAUUAAGGGGAAAAAUAAAAAAAAUUAGCAGGAUAUAUUGUAGUAACUUUUUUGAUUUCCUAUUAACUUGAUUUGAAGUCCUGAAUUACUCCCACUAUCUUGUUUUGACUGAUUAGACUCUGUUCCGUUCUGUUUGAUAGUAUCAAGUUUGAGGAUAUAGUCAACUACUUUGAAGGCAAUAAGAUUCACUAUGAUGCCCAUUCUGAUUUGACUAUUAUCUUCUUUUGAAGUCCUGUAAUGUUUACAAUGUUUAGGUUUUAUUGGUCUUGUUCUGUACUGUUUUGUUCAACUUUAUAACACCUAAUGAUAUAGGCAAUUCUUUUUAAGGAAGCAAGAGGCAUUAUGUUAACCAUUGUUGAUAACCUUGUACUGUUUUUACAUCAUGUGCUAUGUCUAUCCUUUGUUUUGACUGACUGCUUUGUUUUGUCAUAUUUGGUUUUAUUCUCUUUCAAAAAAAAAAGUAAUAAGAACUAUGGGAGUAAUAAAACCUAAAAUGCAUAAAUUUUGUUGUAAAAAAGAGAGGAAAAAAAGUGCUUUAAAGGUUACAACUGCAAGUGUGUUUAGGUGUGUUACGAUAGAUGACCAUAUUAUUGAGUUUUUGUUGUAGCAUUGAACACAACUGUUUGCAGUCUCACUGUUUGAAUGUCCACUUUGUAUGCUUUGAUCCUGUGACUUGAGCAACUAUUUCUAAGAUGACAAUGUGUAAUCUAUUAACUGGUGAUUUGUUUUUGUUUGUUUGUUUGUUUUGUUUUUUUGUAGUUCUGUAUUACUUAUACCCUUACACUGUUUCGUUUUGAUUUUUUUUUCCUUUUAAAUAAAAUUUUUUUAAAAAAUUAUAUAAUUAUCUCAAUAGACAAAAGCAUUUGACAAAAUUUAAUCAUUUAGUGUUAAUUUGGGGUCAACUUAGCGUUAACCAUAAUUUUUGAUAUUUAUGCUCUUUGAACCAUCAUGUCACGUUUCAAUAUCUAUAAUACAGAUGUGCGCAAAGAUAUAUGUGUGUGUGUGUUCACCCUAUAUUUUCUUUUGGUCUUUUUGAGACAGGGUCUCACUACACAGUUCACGCUGGCCUUGAGCUUACUUUGUAGCCCAGGCUGGUCUCAAACUCGCAGAGAUCCUUCUGCCUCAGCCUCCCAAGUGCUGGGAUUACAGGCGUGAGCCACCAUGCCCGGCUCCCCCUACAUUUUUAAUGGCAUAUAAAAUAGAAACAUUAUUUACCAACAUGGGAACAGAUUAAAAUGAAUGAUAGUAAUCUAUGAAUCAAAUACAUUGUCUUCAAUUUGUACUUCUAUUAGUACGUUUGCAGUAUAUAAUGAUUACAGUGUCAAAUACAUUUUUAAAAAGACUCCUCUGUACCUACACAGAGGCUUAGAAAGUUUUCUAAGACAUGGCUAGAUGAAAAAAAAAAAAAAAACAGUAUAGUUUGUUUGUUAUAAAUACAUAGUGAUGGACCGGGAAUGUAGCUCAGUGGCACAGCGCCUGCCUGGCCAGCGCAAGGUCCUGAGUUCAAUUCCUGUUACACAAGAGGAAAAAAAAAAUACAUAGUGAUAUGUGAAUGCAGAGGAAAAGGCCCAGAAAGAUCCAUAUCUUGUACUUUAUUGAAUAGUGUCCCCAAAAUUCAUGCCCCCUAGGUCUUCUGAAUGUGAACUUAUUGGGAAACAAGUCUUUGCAAGCAUAAUUAAAUAAAAUUGAGGUUUCAGUAGAUUUGUGUGGGUCCUAAAUUCAGUGCGUGGCUUCUUCAUAUGAAAUCCAUGUGGAGGGGAGGGCAGCAGCUGGAGAGACACAGCGAUAAGCAAACAUGGGACGAGAACUGGUGAAACCACCAGAAGCUAAGAGGGGCUACGGCACCGGCUCCUUCAGAGCCUCCAGGAUCAACUCUGUGGAGACCCUGAGUUCGGACUUCUGGUCUCCUCAACUAUAAGACAAUAUAUUUUUAUUGUCUUAAGAAACCCAGUUUGUAGUAAUUUAUUAUAGCACAUCAGCCCUAUGAAUUCAAUGCACACUGAUUAACAAUGAUUCAUUCUUUUAUUUUUUUAACAAUGAUUCAUUCUAAGGAGGGAAUUUGGUGAGAGUUAUCCAAGGAAGAUUUUGUGCUUGCAUAGAUAAUCUUUUUUAGGCAAUAAAUUAAGAUCAAAACUCAAUCCACAUUCUAUGCUGGAAGCUUCAAGUCUGCCAUUUAUCAGGUGUGCACCGGAGACUCUUAUCUAGCCAGAGCCCACUGGUAAAGGUUUUCAUUGUGAUAGACCUAGGCCUGUGCCUAGGUGUCAUUGUUAAAUAUUUUGAUAAUUGUACAAGUUAUUUUCUGUUGCUGUAACAACACACCUGAACUGAGUAGUUUUUAAAGUAUAGAAGUUUAUUUGAUUUGCAAUUCUGGCGGCUGGAGGCUCCAACCAGCAUGGCACUGGCAUUUUGGCAAGACCCCUUCCCACUGCAUUGAACUGUGACUCAGAAUUGGAAAGGACACCAUCAGUGUGCAGUAUGGGAAGAGCCAUGGACCUCAUCACUUCCCAGCAGGCUUUGCCUCUCAGUGCUUGUACCACAGCAACAAUCACUCAUGGCUGUGCAUAAGUUAAUGAUACGUUUGAAAGUGAUGCUUUGUCUCAUUGCAAAAUCUCUUAGACGAGUCUGCCAGAUCCAGGAAACAGAAAAGGAAAAUAAUAGUUUGUCAGUUUCCAAAGGUUUGGAGUGUAUCCAUCAGGACUCAGUCUUCAUAUAAACCAGAAGAUAUGCGGUUUCCUGCCUGGAAAGAAGAGAAAAAUGCAUAAGCAUAGCUAAAGGAAACAGUCACAGCGAAAUGAUACAUUGUGAAGCCGAGAUGGGGCAAGCAUGUGUAAACUCUAGUUAACGUCUAAAUUAGGAGGUGACAAAUCGGACGUAAGUUAGAUCAACCCCAUUUCUGCAAAUGAGUAGAACCGAGCCCCGUCAUAUUCACUGAUUCACACACGUCUGUAGCUUCUCUGUGCUGCAAGGCAGUAAUGCAUGGGGGACCAUGAUCCACAAAAUAAAAUCUGUUUCCUCCGGCCCUCCACAGAGCCAGUGACAGAAACCUCACAAAGACUGGGCAUCUAAGACAGAAAAAACAGAAAAAGCUUAGAAAAAAACGAGCAAAAGAUGAAAAACAGAAAGUAAAAGGAGAAUUUCAAACACAAAUUGUACCUAAUUUGUAGUUUUCCCAUGUUCACACCUGCCUCUACAACUGAAAAUCGUCUCUAGUAUCAUCUUUGAUAUACACUGUUACUCUUAACCUAGAAACUCAGUUAAAAAAAAAAACUUACUGGCUCUCUGCCUUGAUUUUAUCUAACUUUGUACUCUUCAGCUUCCCUUAUAGUUACUGAGUUUAAAAAAUAUUGAUAGUAUUAAAUUCAAGCCAAUUUGUCACACAAAGAAACAUUAAAGCAGGGGUCAUUUCUCCCCAAAGAUACGUGGUCUAGCAGAAGAGAAAGAUAGGCAAGCAAACAGUAUAAACUUACUAUAAAGGAGGGUUACUCAAGAUGCAACAAACCCCUACGCUACAAACCUACUCGGUCAAUCAGUAAAGGAAGGGGCUGCAGAGCUGGCAGAGCCCAUGAGUCCUGAACAGGAGGGAAAUGUGCUUCGAUGGUAAACCGGCAGAGGGCACUGCAGGCCAGAAACUGCGCAUGCAGAGACUCGGAGGAGACGGUGAAGGUGGCAUCUGCAUAAGGUCACUUUAUACUGCUGAUUGUUGCUGUGGCCUCAAUUGUGAGAAAACCGUGUUCCGGUGCAGUGUGUUGCAAGCUGAAGUGAAGAGUUAGUCCCAGAAAGCCACCCGCGUGUAAGCGGCAUCUGACCCCCCGCGAGUGUGGCCCAGCGCCGAGAGCCAGCAUGGGUCCACUCAUCUGCGUCACUGACGCACGUCUCUUACCAGCGGCAGCCGUGAUUUCCAUAGGUGCACUGGAUGUCCUUCCAGGACACCUGAAAGCGUGGAACAGAGGAAGUCAGCAACCGCCUGGCCCUGCUCUCACCUCUCAAGGUACCCUCAUUCACUGCUCUGGGCAAAGAAUCUGGGGCACCCCGCGACAGGAUGCCAUGUAUAAUGAAGCCUAUUUCAUAUCCUUGCUCUUCGGUUUACAUGUGGCUAUGCUUGUCCCAGAGCGGUCACUACACAUUUCUAAGUCUUCUUGCUUUACAGAACUCUUCCACAGAACAUGAACCUGCAGGCCACUGAGCCUACAGCACCAGAUCCAAGACAGCGGAGUGAGUAGACUCUCACAGCGCUGAAAACUCCAUCAGGAUGGCAUGCAGGAAGGAGCCACCACCCUCUUAAGAAGUCCCCCCACAGAGAGAAAACAGAAACAGUGUUUGGGGCUCAGAAUUUACUAGAGGCAGCUAAAGCAGGACAAGAGGCACUUUGGGAUAAUGUUUCUCACCCAACAAACAUGGGAGUCAUUGAAGCAGAACCAUUUUCCAUCCAUUGGAUUCCGGAUGUAGGCGCAGUAGUGACCAAAGUCUGCCAUCCCCAUGUGGGCGAUCACAGCAAAGAGUUCAUACUGUGCUUCAUCCUGCAAGAAGAUGAGGCACACAGCGAUUCACCCCUUACCUCUCCUUCGGCAGUCCUAGUUUGGAAUAAAGAAAGGUUAUCUCACCACACAUUUAUUGAUCGACCAUGCCAGGUGGUGGUCCUUCACUGGUACUAGAAUAAAGGGAAGCUGCCCCAGGGAAGGCCUGAUUGAGCUGAUCUUGAUAACUGGCAGAUAAAUGGUGGGAAGGGAGUAUUUUUUUAAUGCAGACUCAGGCAUUGCAAAGACUCAGCAACAAACAAAAGUAGAGAGUCCAGAGGAUGUGGAGCUCAGGAAGGGGGCUGAGGUCCCCAGGAGUGAGGCUGCACAGACCAAGUUAACAAGCCAGGCAUGAUGGUGCACCCCUAAUCCCAAACACUCGGGAGGCUGAGGCAAGAGAAUCUUGAGUUUGAGCCCAGUCUGGACAAUAAAAUGAGAUCUCAUAUCACAGGCGGGGAGUGGGAGAGAGGAGAAGGCCGAGGAAGAGGAGGAGGAGGAGUUUGUUCCAUGCAUGGCUGGGAAUCGUCAGAACAUCUUAGGAAGAGAAGCAACAUCAGAUUGAUUUUUGAGAAUCAUACUGAAACAAUGUAAUUUGAAAAAUGAAUAAAAAAUUCAAAUGUAACAGAAACCAAGCAGAUAAGUCAGGACACUGCACAUGGAGGAAGGGUGGUAGACACUGUCACUGGUAGUCAUUAAAAUGAUAAUGAUUGCUAUUAGCAAAUGACAUUUCACUUAACACUCAUAGCAUCCCUUUGAGCUGGGUGCUAGUCUAAGUCUUACUCUACAGAGGCAGAAUCUGAACUCUGAGAGGUAAAGUAAAUUUCCCAAGGCCAAAAGCUCUAAACAGAAGAAGCAGGAUUCCAGCUGAGCCUGACUGCUCAGAACCCACACUGAAGAUGGAGAUGCAGGGAUGGAUUUGUACAAAUUAGGUAGAAAUAACUAAACAUAUCUGGUAACUAACUAGGUUGAGGACAGAAGUUGGAAGAAUAAUAAAAAUGAAUCUUAGAUUUCUGCUUAGGUGUUAGGGUCACAUUGAAACUAUACAGCCAAAUACAGAACAGAGGUGUUUGGAAUGAAGAUCAUGAAUUGAAGACUGACUUCUACAUGAAAAUAGUAAGGAGGUAAAAAUACUGGCGUGGAGCUCAAGAAGAUACAGACUUGGAAAUCUUCAGUUUGAAGCAAAUAUUGAAAUCCUGAGAAUUAGUGAAAUGGUAUUUGAAAAGAAAGAAAAAGAAUAGAGCUGAAAAUUAAAUAUCCAUGAAAUGAUGGGCAGAAAAGGGUCCAGCAGGGGAGAAAGAAACCCUUGGAGAGAAACCUAGGAGAGAGAUCUUUAAGGAGAGUCCGUAACAUGGCACAUCACAGAGAAAUCUCAGGACAAGACCCAGAAGUAUCUAGUGCAUAUGGCAGGGAACCCUUCUUAUUCUUCAAAGCCUUGGAAAAGCAAAAUAAAAGGUAACUCUGCAAAAAGGCAGCGGCGCUGAGAGAAAUUCUCAGUUGAUCAUGACAGGGUCUCAUGGCUGACAGGGAGCCAUCAGAGAACACGUAAAGAAGACGAUAACCAAGAAUUGCUUUUUUCACCCCAAAAAGUCAAACCCACAGAAGCAGAGCAUGGAAUGGUGAUCACCAAGGACUGGAGCGACCUGUGUCACAACAGGACCCAUUUACAUUAUCAGAUCUUAAGUUUUUAAAUACCAUGCAGCAUGAACAAACAAACAGACCAAUGGAACAACCAACAUUCUAAAAAUAGAUUCAGGCAGGGGAUAUAGCUCAGUGGCACAGCACAGCCUGGCAAGUUUGAGAGCCUGAGUUUGAUUCCCAGUACCCAUAAAUAAAUAAAUAAAUAAAUGUAAAAACAGGUUCAGUCAGGCACACUUGUAAUCCCAGCACUUGGGAGGCUGAGGCAGGAGGAUCACUUCAAGUUCAAGGCCAGUUUGGACUGCAAAGUGAGUUCAACGCCAGCCUGACCUACAUAGUGAGAUCCUGUCUCAAAAUAAAUAAAUAAAAAUUAAAACAGAUUCUAUGAAAUGUAGCAUUUCAUACUUAUGGAGAAGAGAUAUUUAUGACACGUUUUUCCUCAGUCUUUCAAUAAGUGAUUAUGUCAAACAAUUGAUCUAAACCUUUUUUUUUUUUUUUUGGUACCAGGGGUUGAACUCACGACUUUGUGCUUAGCAGGCAGGUGCUUAUGCUGCUGAGCUAAAUCCCCAGCCUGAUCUAAACUUUCAUGUGAUUAAAUUUGGCCCAACCCAUGGGUUGGACAAUAAAAACAAAUAAAUAAAUUUGGUCCAGUCAACUGGCUAAUUUCUUAUUAUCCUCAGGGUAAGUUAUGGUUGUUUUAAUGAGAAAGUUUAGUUGAUACUAUACUUAGAACCCCAAAUAGCCUAUUUACUUAUGUAUUUUACAUGCUAUUUCAGAAGGCAAGUAUUGAAUUUAAGUUCCCUCCCUUCGUUCUGUGAGGCAUUUAUCCACACACCCCCUAGCUAAAACUAGGAAGGUUUUUGCACUUUAAAAGAAAAGAAAAGCCACUAUAACCAACAAAGGCUAGAGGAUGACAGUACAGUGACAACAAAUUACCACCAUUAGCCACGAGCAGAUAGGUUUCCACUGUUAAAGCAGCUUAAAGAACAAGAGUGUCCUGAAUAUGUGUUCUGUGAGUCACACCAAGGUGUGGCUGGUUCCCAAACGUGCAGGGGACAGGAGGUCCUGGGUGAGAGGUGACACAGAGGACACCAGCCUCACCGAUUAGGCCAGUGUUUGUCCAGCAUCAGGACACUCAACUCUGCCUCAUAGUCUGGAACCUACUACCACAGCAUGGCCUUGGUGAGAACCUGGAGCUAAAGAACCUAGGGCUCUGCAAGUUGGCGGGCAGGAGGAGGCUGAAUCUCCAGGGUGUGGUGUGGGUUAGGAUUGAUGAGGACAGAAGGGGACCUCUUACCUGUUCCUCUGCUUCAGUAAUGGGCUGCUCACUAGGAAGAACCUGACCGAAAUCCAAGCUCUCAGGGAAACACAGCGAAUGGCAGACCUUUUCUGUCCUUGAGUUCUUGAUGGAGAAUCGCCUGAGGUGGAUGGUCAGGGUUUGGGGCAACCGGGUCACCUUCAAGGCCUUAAAAACACAAAGUCACUGAGAUCGAGUCCUCAGACUCGAUCUUGAAAGGAACACAGGGCUGGGUGGCACGUUCUUGUCACCAGUGCAAGGAGAUAUGAUCCAAAGUUAGAGGCUCGUCCUUUGCACCUCAUCCUCUGAGACCACGCGACACCUGACUAUCUCACCACUGCAAGCCCCCCACAAAGGCACAGGUGACUCCCAGGUUCUGCACAAGUGCCCAACACAAGGAAACUAUGCAGUCUAUAGUAGGGAGUUGGUCUAACCAUGAGAGAAAAAUCCUACCCAUCACUCUUGGACCUUCUCCUCUCCUACGAGCCUCUGAUCCUCUCGGUGAUGUGAUCUGAGAAGCUACAUACAAAGCUCUGGAAACCAGAAGCCCCAGGAUCCAGACUAGUGCCUGACCUAGAUUCCCUCCCUCAACUAUGACAAGGGGCCCUCAGGGCUUUGGAAGACUCUAUGGCAAAAUCCUCUAGGGGCAAACCCAGACCAGUGAAACAUUUGCAUUUCGGGGAUGAGUACCUGUUUCCUGUGUGUCUUCCUCCCACAGUUCUGACAGAAGCAUGUGCUUUUGUUGCAUAGCUCCUUGGACUGGAAGAAAUAACUCAGGGCAUCCUCCUGUCCCACCAGAAGAACAAAAAAUGGGUAAGGUUGGUGUUUCCCAUCCUCACACAUCCUGCUAGUGGGGACUCAAGCUUUGCAUCUGAUUUUUGUCAUAUGCCCCAAAUGUUUGGCCUGGUGUGGCCCAUUUGGCAGGAUUUCCUAGAGAACCCACAGACUGAAAGAACAAAACGAAAGCUGGGGAGACACUUGUUAAGGGGACAGUGCAAGGAAAGUGGCAGUAGGAGGGUGUCGUGGCUUGUAUCUAGACGUCCCCCAAUCCCAUCAACCCUCAUGCCGUCAUAGGGGGGCUUUUUCAGAGGAGGCUGGACCUAGAGUGUGUGACGCUGGAAUUGAUUCAUGGCGCAGUGCUAGGAUCAAGGGCCCUGGAAUUACGAGUGUGAGUGCUGCCCGCCCUGAGCAGCCUGGAUAAGAUCAAAGGGACAGAAAGGGCUGUGGUCAUGCCUCGUAACUUCUGUCCUGUUUCUCCUCUGAGAUGCCACCCUGUCUUGGAGCCAGCUACUAUGGACUGAAACCUCCAGAAACUGUGAGAUGGAUAAUUCUUUCCUCCCUAACUUUGGGUGGUGGGUAUUUUGUCUCAGCAAUGAAAAAGUAACUAAGAGGGGAAAAGGAGAAAUGGACCAUAGCCAUGCAAAUGAAAUUUAUUUUUUUUAAUGUCAAGAAACUUUCAAAACAAGCAGGGGCCAUGGCAGGCAAGGUUGUACAAAUUCACCAAGACGUUUCUCACCAGUGUUCUAAGGGGUUCUGAGUUCAUAUCAAAAAGAGAAAGAGGGAGGGUCAGCAAGCUGCUGUCUCUGCUGCUCUCCGUGGCACAGUCUAAGCACACCAAGAUCUCCUUCACCCGGAUGGUGUACAAGUCCUGCAGCCUCUCUACCUGUAGAGAGAGGAACAGACAGGGAAGACAGACAUGAAGUUGCAGACCAGCUCAGGCCAGCUUCCAGAAUUCUGUCUAGAAGCUCUAGAAGUAAAAACCACUACACAUAAAGGUACAGAAGAGUAACAGGAAUUAUGCUAUUCACUUGAGCCUCUGUAGAUUAAGUCCUUUAUACCUCUGUACACAUUUCAUAAACAAUUAGCUGAGUGACUUCCAUAAGCAGCAUCCUAAAUUUCUGAGUUUUUAAUUCCAGGUCCUUACCAAAUCUGCAUCAGUGAUUUGGUCCUUGAUUAGGUUCCAGACUGUGAGAUAGAGUUGAGCAGCAUCGUGCUGGACAAACACUGGCCAGAGAGAAGCAACAGCAGUCAGUGAGGUCACCAGAGCUUCUCGUGCCUGACUUACCGUGACACUAACCUGCCAUGCCUAGCCUCCCUCUGCUCCAGAAAAGGGUAAGUUUUUUCACCAAAUGUGAGGUGCCCGAUAAAUGAAAAGUAAGUUUGGUACGGAUUUUUUUAUAGUGCCAAAAUCACAAAUUUUACCGCAGAUGUAACUGUUAAACAAAUGUACCAAAGAGCACAGCAAGUAUCUGUAUAAAGAAAAAUUACAGAAUAUUCAAGCACAGAAGCCAAAAAGGGAAACAGAGAUGCCUACUCCUGCUGUCUGUAUCAGAGGACCUUCAUGUCCAGUUACAUCUACGUAGCUCUCCAUGCGUCAACAAUUUAAGCAUAAUGAUGGACAAUUCACCAUAGGUCUCUGAGUCUUCAAUCCGAAGGGCUCCACACCACAUAAAUCUAUAAUCAAGUAUAUAAAAACUGUUCUUCUCAUCACUAUUUCAUGAAAGAGGAAAUCUGAAACAAAAAUACAGCAUUUUGGGGCUGGGCUCAGCGGCAUAAGCGCCUGCCUUUGCAAGCAGGCAGUCGUGAGUUCGAUCCCUGGUACCAAUAAAAAGGAAAAAGACAAAAAAAAAAAUACAGCAUUUUAUGUGAUAAAAUUGAAAGUCUAGAUAAGAUCAAUGAUUUUUCUAAGCAACAAUUUACCAAAAAUUACCCACUAAAAACAGAACAGCAAAGGAGACAAAUGUUCAUAUAAAAAACAAAUACAAAAAAAAAAUCUCUGAGGCAGAAUGAUUUCAUAGGUAAAUUUCGCUGAACUGAUGGUGUGGAUUUGUGAGAGCGCAUCUUAAAACUGAAGCCACAGGCUGGGGAUUUAGCUCAGCAGCAUAAGCGCCUGCCUUUGCAAGCAGGCAGUCUUGAGUUCGAUUCCCGGUACCGAUAAAAAGGAAAAAGACAAAAAAAAAAAAACUGAAGCCACAGUCCCAUUAUGUGACAGUUUCCCACUCUGUCAUUCUCCAGCCAGCUCUCCUGGCCCCUACAAGGGCCCAGCCUGACAGCACCAGGAACGCCCUCCUAUGUUACCACUGUGACCAAGCAUUUCUCUGGCCCUUGAUGUACUUUCUACCCACUGCAUUAAAACCUGAGCAGUUGCCCAGUUCUUGCAUCUGACUCCGGUUUCCCCAAAUGGGCACAAGAAGACAAGGAGGGAGGGCCCGUCUUGGUCUCAUACGACGCAGGCUUAGAGGGAGCCAGAACCUGGCCGUGAAUUCCGCGCCUGUCACAGGUAAAUGUCAGGUUGCAACUGAUGUGAAUUUACCAGUAUUGUUAUAAGGAGGACUAAGAAGUUUCAGGACAUGAAAGACACACUGAAGACUAUUUUCCAAAGGGAUAGAUAAGUGUCAAAACGCAAAGACACUGCAAGAAAAGGUGGUCACUAAAAAUGUGCUAUAUCUGGCAUCUCCACCCCAUUUUCCUUCCUUAAUAAUACCAGCUCUUCUCCCUGACAUUUUUUAGCUGACUUUGUUUCACUUUUGCUUUUGGCCUCAUUGCCUCUAACUGACAGCUCCGGGGAGGCAGACUCUGCCCACCUUGUUUCCUUUUGCCCUGCAACACCACAAUGCCUGGCACUCAACAGAGGACCACCGUCUAGCAGCUGAGAAGAUUAAUCAAUCUGCUCUCCAACACAGUGAACCUGAAGCUCAAAGACAGUCUAACAGGAUUCCGCUGAUGCCGCCUGGUACAGAGGGUUCCUGCCGCAGAGCUGCCGCUCAAUGCAGGGGAUCAGAUCAUGUUGCCAUAGAGACAGUGUGUCCUCCCUGGCCCUCCCAGAACCAAGAGCCCCAGUCACCUAAGGAAGACAAGGACCCGCACCUAUCCCACUGUGUCCCACGCCCGGCAUCACACAAGGCGAAGACAGCUCCUGUCCCCGAGUGUCCUGUAUGGUAUUCUAAUGGGGGACAGCAUUGAAAUAAUUGUGAGUCAAACAAAGAGAAGAAAACUUACUGUAGGGAGCUAAAGGAAGGUGGGGAUACAACUGAAGUAGAAGUGACAGUCUUCAUAAAACUGUCUUUUUGAGACAGGGUCUUUCUAUGUGGUGCAGGCUGGCCUUGGGCUCACUUUGUAGCUUAGGCUGGUCUCGAACUCGCAGUGAUCCUCCUGCCUCAGCCUCCCAAGUGCUGGGAUUAAAGGCAUGAGCCACCAUGCCCGGCUUGCAACACUCUUUAUAAUAGCUAAAAAUGUAAACAAUCUAAAUGUCCAUGUAAGGAUGAAUGAAUUUUUAAAAUGUGUACAUAUACAACAGGAAAUUAUCCAACAAUGAAAAAGAUGAAAUACUGCCAUAUGCAGCAACAUGGAUGGAACUGGAGAACAUUAGGUGACAUAAAUCAGGCAUCGGAAGACAAGUACCACAUGUAAUCAAUUAUAUGAAGAAACUACACAGUUGACUUCAUAACAUGAGAAAAUAGAAUAGUGGUCAAUGGAGAACAGGAAAGGAAGAAUGAAGGGGAACGGAGGGAGAUGGUAUUAUAGGUAUUCUACCUAUCAAUUAGGUAGAAAGAAAAAGGUCUAAUGGGCUCAGCGCAGUAAGGAAACCACAGGUCAUAACCAUUACUGUAUAUAUUUUAUAUAAUAAAUACAAAUGAAUUCAAAGUUUCCUAACACAAAGAAAGCACCUAACAAAGGAAAACACUGAUUAUUGUGAUUUGACCAUUACAUGCUGGGUAAAUAUAUCACAUGGUCACCCUAAACCCUUUAAAUAUGUGCAGUUAUGCUUCUUUUAAAAGAAAACUACUUUGCUGAGGAUUUAGCUCAGCGGCAUAAGCACCUGCCUUGCAAGCACCAAGCAGGCGGUCGUGAGUUCAAUCCCCGGUACCGAUAAUAAAUAAAUAAAUAAAAAUGAAAAAAAGAAAACUACUUUAAAAACUAGUAAUAUUAAAAAAACUAGUAAUAUUCAAAAUAUUCACAAAAAUGCCUAUUAAAAUAGGCUUUUUUCUUUCCUCUUCUUUUGCAUUUUUUUUUUUUUGAGUCUAUGUUGUUCAGACUGGCUUUGAACUCGCUAUGUAGACCAGGCUGGCCCCAAACUCACUGUGAUCCUCCUGCCUCAGCCUCUCCAAUGCUGAGGUUACAUGUAUGAGCCACCACACCUGACUAAGCCUCUUUCUUUUAAAAGUAAAAAUAAAAAUAAAAACUACCUCAGACCCCACCCACUACGCCCACCCCAAGUAGUCUAGCGUCCACUUGUUUCCUUCCUGUUCGCCCAUGAGCUUGCCCGCCCCCCCACCCCUUAGCUCAGCAGGCGGCAGCCAGGUCUCACGUGGCACGUUGUUCUUCUGCAGGCAGUAGGCCAGCUCCGUGGGCCGUACCGCCUUCUGCCGGCUGUCCUGCAUCUUCUCCAGCAGCAGCAGCAUCUGGAAGGGGACACUUCUCUGCUCUUCUGAGACCUUCGGCACUGUUAUCCUGCCAAGCAAGAACAGCAGGGACAUCCUGAUCAGAGACACACUGGGUCACCUGGAAAACCUUAAAAACCUCCAUGUCCUGGCCACUCAGGAAGAAAAUCUGAAUUCUGGGGAUGAAACCAGGUGACUUAAAUGGGGAACCACAGCUCAGAACCACUAAGUCAAUGAAACAGCUGUGCAAAGUACUCUCUCAAGAGGGGGAUUUGAAACAACUGCUGCCCUGUGCCCUACAUGCCCAGCCACACUGCAACCCGGGCAGAUGCCCCAGGCUCCGGAUCUGCAUGCGGGCGGGUGGAUAAAGGUCUCACCGGGAGCACUGAACAGCAAAAAAUGAGUUACGAAUGGUAGUGCGGGGAUGAGGAGUGUUUUAGCAAUGAUUCAUUUAAUUGUAGGAAUCUCUUGAUCACUCCUGCCAAUGAUGGGGGAAAGAAGGAAGCACAGGUCAAGAAGAGAGAGACAGUGUGUGUACACGCUUUCAAUCCCAGUGUUUUUGCUCCUGACUUUCAUCUAAUCCCAAAUCCUUUUUAACAAAACCAGUGGCCCUCUAUUUCUCCUGUACUUUAAAGUCACUCGGGGAGGAGCCUUUUACAAAGUAUCAAGGCCUGAUUACCCACCCAGACCAACUGACACCAAACAACUGGAGGUUAUUUUAAAACUUGCAUGAAUCUAAGGAGUAGUCCAGAAUGUGCAGAAAAGGAUCUUUUCUCUGGCAACUUGAGAAAGAAGACUUCUAAAGUCACAGUGAAAACCUGAAUAUUUAAAAACAUGAAAUAGUACACAUGCUUCUCAGUCCCAAUAGCAGGCUUACCUCUUCAGUAUCUUGGUAAAGUCCGUGUUCAUUAUGAACACCUGGAUCAAGGAGUUAAGGCAACAGGUCUGUCCAAUGUUGUGUAAACCAACCAGGCCUAUAACAGGAGAGAAAUGUCCUGAGGGCUAGGCCAGGCAUGGUGACACAUACCUGUAAUCCCUGCACUUGGGAGGCCGAGGCAGGAGGAUUGCUGAGAGUUCAAGGCCAGCCUGGGAUACAUAGUGAGCUUAAAACUAGCCUAAACUGCAUAGUGAAACCUUGGUUUAAAAAAAAAAAUUCUGAGGGCAAGGGCUAAAGAACUUGACAAAAAUCGGAUGCUUUUCUAGAGUCUACUAAAGCCAUGAAAUCCUACAAAGGGAACUUGCAAACAAACUGGGGAGGAAAUAUCAAGCAAAAACCUGUGCAAAGGUGCAGAAAUGGAGGCGCAGUGGUCAGGGUCCAUUAACCGGAAAGCUGUGAGAUGGGAAGGAGACCGACAGGCGCUACUGACCAUGAUGGUGGUCCCAGGUACUGAGUGGUCCCGGCUGCUCUCUCUUCCUCUUCAUGUCGCUGUCCUCGCCCUUCUUCUCCAAGGAUUCUCCUGAACACUGCUGGGACUCAGCCAAGGUUGACUGGCAGGUGUCUCCCAGGAACCCAAACGUCAUGCCCAUCUGGAAUUGCUCCAAAGCUCCCAGGGCAAGGCUGCCUGGCCUGUCCAGGAGGAGCUCACGGGUCCGGAUGCGAUGGAACCCUUUGAAGACACAUGGCAGGGCAGGUCGAUAAGGAUAUGACAGGGACAAAGUGUAUUUAUGGUGGCGGCUCUGAGUUCAAAGAGCCAAGGCCUCCAGGUGGUGACGGUCUGGGGAGACUGGAUCAUAAAACGCUUUAUGGCUGGAAAUCACACCGAAAUUGCACUGCUCUUCUUCAGAGUAGCCAAAGCCACCUUCCUCCCCCCAGAUUCUCCCCUCUGGUAAAUGGCGUGGCAUCCACCAAGGGGCCCAGACCACAGAGCUGAGUGUCAGCUCUUCACUGCUCCUUCAGACGCCAUGACUAUCGAUUCCUCUGCUUAAGGGCCAUUCAUAAGCAAGUUCCUGGCUACCCACACCCGUGACUUCAGUUUUAUACCUACAGACAUCCCAGCCCCAACAAAUCACUCCUGCUCCCUGGGAGCCCGUUCUCUGCCCUCCAGGGGCCGGGGUGUUUCCCAUCCUGCCACGCACCUGGUACACACAGCUUGUUUGAGUAAUGGCUCCCUGUGCCUACUUCAAGGAGCAUCUGUCUGCCAUGGAUGUGCCAGUUCUCCACUCAUUCAGACACCUAGGACCCAGGCUGAGAGCAGCAAGGUUGGCUGACAGCAUUCCAGCCUCUUACACAACCAGAGGUCCACACGCAUAACAAAAUCUUAGCUAUAAAGGAGGAUGCAGAAAAACCCAGUGCUCGAGUCCCCUGUUUCUCACUCCCUCCUGACGAUGCAGACCUUUGCCACCCGUAAAUCCUCCCGACAUAUUUUGCAAACCAAGGAAGGGGUGUCCCAUGGACAAGACAGUGGGAAACUGAGUUUGCUAAAGAGGAAAGGGCACAAAUUGAAAUAGGGGGUGUCCUGAGACACAGCAGCUGAUGCUCGGCAGAUCCCAUGUUGGGGAAAGAGGAUGUGGAGAAAGUACAUGCAAAAGACUAAGCAGAUUUGAAUAAGAAAAGCUGAACUAAAAACCAAUGACUGUAUAAAUGUUUCAGAAUUUUAACUUUAUAAAAAAUAAACUGGUUAACAAAUAGUCCUGGAAGCUCAAAUUAAGACCAUAAUGAGGUACCAUUGUACACUACUCAUCUGAGAACAACCAGGAAUUCUAGUAGAAUCUGUUCAUUACACCUCAUACACCUACUGAAGUGCCACACUGUAACCUAUAACUGUGCAUAACUUUUAUAUGUCAAUUUAAAUCAUACUGUACGUAUAAAAGAAUUCCGAUUAAAUCAAGUGUUCGGGGAAUGUGGAUAGACAGGAUUUUUAUAUUCCACUAGGUGAUGGGUAUAAUAUGGUCUAAGCACUUGGGCAAAUAAUUUGGUUCAUUGUGUAAAAUUAAAUAAACACUUAACUUCACCUGUUAAA